rnacentral:rRNA from 1 species
GACGAACGCUGGCGGCGUGCUUAACACAUGCAAGUCGAACGGAAAGGCCCUGCUUUUGUGGGGUGCUCGAGUGGCGAACGGGUGAGUAACACGUGAGUAACCUGCCCUUGACUUUGGGAUAACUUCAGGAAACUGGGGCUAAUACCGGAUAGGAGCUCCUGCUGCAUGGUGGGGGUUGGAAAGUUUCGGCGGGUGGGGAUGGACUCGCGGCUAAGGCGCUUGUUGGUGGGGUAGUGGCUUACCAAGGUUUUGACGGGUAGCCGGCCUGAGAGUGUGACCGGCCACAUGGGCCUUGGGGAGGGGCCCAGGCGCCAACGGGGGGAAGCGGCGGGAAACUUUGCCCACGGGGCGGAAGGGGGAUGCAGCACCGCCGGGUGGGGGAGGACGGCCUUCGGGUAGGAAAACGCUUUGGCUUGUGACGAGGCGUGAGGGAGGGAAAUGGGUAAAAAAGCACGGGCAAACUAGGU